rnacentral:rRNA from 1 species
UACGUAGGGGGCAAGCGUUGUCCGGAAUCAUUGGGCGUAAAGCGCGUGUAGGCGGCCCGGUAAGUCCGCUGUGAAAGUCGGGGGCUCAACCCUCGGAUGCCGGUGGAUACUGUCGGGCUAGAGUGCGGGAGAGGCGAGUGGAAUUCCUGGUGUAGCGGUGAAAUGCGCAGAUAUCAGGAGGAACACCGAUGGCGAAGGCAGGUCUCUGGGCUGUAACUGACGCUGAGGAGCGAAAGCAUGGGGAGCGAACAGG